GGGGAUGUGCUGGAACUGGCAGACAGGCAUGACUUAGGAUCAUGUGCCGCAAGGCGUGUGGGUUCGACCCCCACCAUCCCCA
rnacentral:tRNA from 1 species